rnacentral:sRNA from 1 species
GCCAGGCAUGGUGGUGCACACCUGUAAUCCCAGCAACUCAGGAGGCUGAGACAGUAGGAUCGCCAAGUUCAAGGCCAGCCUCAGCAACUCAGAGGGACUCUGUCUCAA